rnacentral:tRNA from 1 species
GCAGUGGCAGUUCACAGGUAGAAUUCUCCCCUUCCAUGCGGGAGACCCAGGUUCAAUUCCUGGUCAGUGCA